rnacentral:rRNA from 1 species
UACAGAGGUCUCAAGCGUUGUUCGGAUUCAUUGGGCGUAAAGGGUGCGUAGGCGGCGCGGUAAGUCGGGUGUGAAAUCUCGGAGCUUAACUCCGAAAUUGCAUUCGAUACUGCCGUGCUUGAGGACUGGAGAGGAGACUGGAAUUUACGGUGUAGCGGUGAAAUGCGUAGAUAUCGUAAGGAAGACCAGUGGCGAAGGCGAGUCUCUGGACAGCAACUGACGCUGAGGCACGAAGGCCAGGGGAGCAAACGGG